CAUCUGCAAAAAUCCCUGCAGAGUAGCCUUAAAUUAGUGUGUGACUGGGUAAUUGGAAGGAGGUGCCUAUUCGCCAGGGGAUGGAACACGUGGAGGCCAUCUUAGAAUUCCACACUCACCAAUCAGCUGAGGUGAAAGCUUUGCUUGUCUGCCUCUGCCUGACCUCCUAAUGUCCUCCCCUACGUCAUGAGUGGUGUAGACAGAGGAGGUCACAAACCUGCAUCUGACAUUAACAGCGCUGCUCCCUGAAGAGGGAGGGAAGACACAGCCUUGACUUUAUCCCUCAAUGGAAAUGUUGGUCUCAGGUGUGCCUUCCCGCCGGGUAAGGGAAGAACCUUCAUAAGAGGCAGUGGGCAUUGCCUCCAGAGCACAGAGUUCAAGGUUCCAGUGUCUAAGUCUGCGUCCCAGCUCUGCCCCUCACCAGACCUCGCCAUCUCAGAUACAGGACUGCGAUAACACUUCAAGUUACCAGGGAGCUUCGUUGUUUACAAAAAAGAGGAAAAAUCAAUCUUGAAUCUUUUAGUCCAGAGACCAAAGAAUCACUCCAUUGAUUUUUGGUUCAGCUGCUCAGGUAGCACAGAAACAUGCAGAAGAUCAGAUCACAAAUUGGAUCCCCAAACCUCACUGGUGUUCUAGAUUUUUGUCAUGGAUUUACUCACAGACUCUGUGGAGGGGUCACAUGGCCCAUGACGACAGCAAAACACCCUUAAACCCAACUUCACCCAGCUUCCGCUCCCGUGGUCCAAGUCUUUAGCAACUGCUCCGGGAUCUUUCCUUUCACCUCUGGCUGGCUGCCUUUCUUCAUCCACUACCUCCUCUUUCAUCUUGUCUCCAUGAAGACGAGAUGAAGACAGUUUGGCCAAUCAAGGACUCUGACACAUGUCUCUUACUGUCUCCUGGGUCAGUUCCAGAAAGGAUCUUAGUGAUAAGAAACCACCACGUUUUAGGAAUGGGGAUGGGGGAGAAAGGUUGUCAAUACUUCAAUAGGUUUUGUUCCUGACACAUAAUAUCUAUGUGUACCUCUCGCCACGGUGUCCAUUUUAAAAAUGGGGUCUUAUACCUAAUGUCUUCUGAUUGGCUUAUUUCACUUGAUAACACAUCACAGAUCUUCAGCAGUAUUUAUAAGCCAACCUCAUUGUUUUUAACAACUGUCUCUAUUCUACCAUAUGAACGUGCCAUAACUAAUUUAACCCUUUCUAUACAAAAUGUUUCUUUUCUCUUUUUCUUCACUCUUGCAAAUAAUCUGCAGUGAAAAUCUUCUGUACUUUUCGUUUCUUUGCACACUUAGAAGUUUAUUUGCUGGGUCGAAAAGGAUGUGCGUUUUGACAGCAGAUUAUGGGAGGGGCGAUUGUGAACAUAGCAUGGGAUCUGUCCUGAAUAUUUUUCUUCCUGACCAACCUCCCCACUGGAUUCACAUUGAAUACAGCUUUCAUUUAUAGCUUAGGGGCAGUAAGUAAAAACUGGAAGAGCUAUUUCUCUAAAAAAAAAAAAAAAAAAACUUGGUAAAAUAUUGUGUGCGGCACAAAUAUGACUGCCUUGGGAAUGACAGCUCAAGAGAGGAAUGAGGUAUUUCCCUGUACUGUUCUAUAUAAACCAUUGGCAGCUUUGGUCCACUGGGGGUCCGAGGCCUGGUGGUACUGAGGGAGCUGUGCAGACACAGCGCCACCCAGUGGCUGUCUGGAGAGGAUGGAUUUGUUUGCAGGCACUGGUGCAAAAUCCCUGGGAACUCCUGGAAACGGGUGAGGGACAUUUUACUGGAGGCUGAAGUCCUGCAUGAACAGCAGGGAGAUUAGAGCAAGUGACAUUUGGGUUAUUGUUAAGGUGACUCCAUGUGUAGCCAUAGGCUGGUGCCUGGGGCAACUCAGGUUACUGUUGCUUUUGAGUGAAUUUGCAUUUUAUGUCUCAUACUGUGUCUGCAUAUAUUAGAACAAGAUAGCGGCAAUAUACAGGGAGCAAGUCAAUCUCUGGGCAGUGCUUAUCUGACUUCAGGGACCUCUGCCGUAGCUCUGUGGUCCAUAAGUUGGGAACCACUGAGAUGGGAUAUUGAAAAGCCGAGUGCAAAUGAAAUCAUUAACUCAAUGUCAAGGGGAGCAUGCUCUUUCAAGGAAUCCCGGGGUGGAUUCUCACCAAAGGAACACUCUGUUACUCCUUCUCAAGGUCCUAAAAUGACUCCCUGAUGUAACAAAUCAACUUACCUGCAGUUGUUACCCCUCCCUCCGUUACAAGUCCCUGCCCUGGGAUGCGCCCUGUUUCCCAAGCUCUGAGCAGGCAGGUGCUCUCAUGGCCAUUAGCAAGCAGAUGUUUAUUUCUACUUCUAAAUCUUUGCCUCUGUUUUCCCAUCUCUCUGAAGUGCCAUCUCCGCCCCUUUAGUAAUUUAAAGACUUCCACUCUUCAUGCCCUUCUGAGUCCACUGCUCCAAGUCCUCUGGGCCAACUUGGGCCUGAAGGGACUCUUCCUUUUGUAAGCUACUGAAGCUUGUGUUCUUGGUGUUGUAAAUUUGAUGUGGUCUCCGUUUUGGGCAUGUCACUUGUCUUCUCAGCUAGACGGAAUUCUGACAUCAGUGAGGCUUAAUGUCUUCAUACCUCCUUGAAGGAAGAUGUUAGACACAAAAUAGCAUAUUUAUGUAACUCCCUGCAUGAUGAAAAAAAUUAGAGCCAAAUGGUUUUUUUUCGGAAACCUAGAUCUUCGUAUGUUGGAUCUGCUUUAAGUCGACUUAAAAACUUUCAUUCACUUAUCCAUUCAUCUAGUUAUUUGUACAUAUAAUAUACGAAGUGCCGAAUACGUGUCAGAUGUCAGGCACGUCCUUAUUCAGCAGAGAGUGGAGAAAACACCUUGGUUUUCCGGAACUGUGACAAAUGGGCAGCCCAUGCUCUAUGGAUGGACCCUCGCGACUUGCCACCUUGGCUCUGAAGAUGCCUGUUUCCCCCGUUGUGGUGGUGACCAGCUUAUCCUCUAUGUUCUCACCUGCACCCUAUAGACCUGCGCUGAAUGCUCACAUGAGGCUGGAUGUGGGUCUUGGGUCUAGGAGCAUAGUCUUCCACUUAGAAUGGAGUUGUUCCUGGGAAAAGCAUGGUCUCCUAUGCGGAAAAUCAAGCCGGUUGCUCAUAAAAAUGGAGCUGCUCUUCCUGGAUCAAGGAUUGAGAAGCCAGACCACCUGGAUCACGUGUCCCUAUGCUCCUGGGCCUGGUGCACUGCUCAGGAAACAUGUUGAGUGAGCGAUGGUCAUAUUCUAUUGGAUUCAGCUCUGCUUCCUCUCAUUCUGCGCUGUGUUGACUUUUUCUAUGUGACCUAUGUUUUGCUGGCCUGUGGGUUAAGAGUAGUUAUUGCUCACAGGCCAGUGGGCAACUGUUAAGUGGUAGAAGUUCAGGAGAUCUAAUACCUUGGGGGGAUUUGUACCAAUUACUUAACUGCCCGAAUACCAAGUUCCUGCAUGUGAGCUUUAUAAUAAGAUGAGCCAGGUCUCACAUUUAUCCCAAGAAGACAGGACUUAUCCAAAUCAUCUAUAUUUUAGCAGGCAGUACCAAACUUCAGGCCUCAGAAACACAUUUUAAAUAAUUCUUGCCAUGCCAUAUAUUUUAAGUAUCAUUAAAAAGCCAUUUUCUUUAAAAAAUAUGUGUGCAAUAUAUUUUAUGAAACCUAGAACAAGUCUAUGAAAAAUUGAUUAUUUUUUCCACAGGGAUGUGUUCAGAUGAUUUUCAUUCUGCUCACCAAAUGAAAAAUCCAGCGUGUGUUAUGUCCUUUAUCUUAUUUACUCUCUCUCCUGAGAAUAAUCACCAUGUUCCCAAACAAAGAGAUGGGUUGCCCGGUUUGAGUAACCAAAUAAUUUCCUGUGGUGGGCAAAGGAGUUGCUGCAGAUCUAAACUAGGAAGCGUGCAUUUCCCUUUCAAAUGCCGGAUUUUCCUGCUCUGUGCCUCCCUUCAGUCAGCUCCAGGCUGCUUCCCUGAUGCUAACUUAAGAUCCAGCUAUUACACUGGGAUGAAAAUGGAGAGCUUUGCUCAGCCUCUGAACACACGUUAACAGCACAGGAGGUCCUAGGAUCCUCACAAAUAAGAAUCGUCACAAAAGAAUGAGCCCCGUUUGUUUUUCCAUGUGAAUCAGCAUUUCCAGAGGAUUCCAACAUUUGAAAUGCCAACUGAGGUUAAAAGCAAUGGAGCGCUCUCCUGAUGAAUCCCUGCCUCUGCUCCAGGGUGAAAACAUGAUGGUGUCCAUUGGAUCUCUGCCUUUCUGGCUCUGAGUCAUUCAGUGUUUAUAACCGGAAGAGCAACAGUGGUUCAAAAGCCUGCACACCUCGAGGGUUGGGUCCACUGGAAUUUGUAGAAGACCAGUGCCCCAAUUCCAAUGCCUAAGUGCAUGGAAUUCCAUUGCCUAAGGCACUGUAUUCUGCACUGAUGAAGUGAUGGGAUACGACAGACAUGCUUUCAUGGACCUUAUCCUCCAGUGGGAAGAUGGACAAUAAGGAAAGAGAUUCAUGAGUAGAAUGAUCUUAAAAAGUGAGUAGUAAUGCUACAAAGAAAACAAACAACGUAUGGAGGGAGAAGAUAGCUGACCUGUUGGGAAUGACAGAGUCGACAGAUUUCAGGGGAUGGGGAGGAAGGCGUCUGCUUGCUAUUGAGGUGAGCCACGUGGAGCCUUUCUAUGAUGAGGGGCUAGUCAUCCAUUUGUCUGCACCCGAAUUGUUUCCAGUAACAAGUAUCCUGAGUAUAGGAGGUCCUAUUGCGGGUUUAUUAGACAUGAGAAUUGUUAGGUAGAUUUGGCAGCUAGUCAUUUAACAACUGGGGCGGGUAGUCAUUCAAACCUUGUAUUGUGUUCUCAGCACCGAGGUGUGAAACAGAGGCCCUGUUCAAAAGUUGCUUAGGGCCUGGCUACUUGGAGUGUUGUUCUCGACUGGCAGCAUCAGCAUCCCUGGGAGCCUGUUGGAAACGCAGAAUCUCAGGCCACACCCCACACCUGUGGAAUUAAUCUGCUUUUUAAACAAGAUCCCUGUGGUUCAUGAUUUGGAGGCAUCAUAAUGUUUAAGAAGCACUGGCUUAUGCAACAUAGGUAAGAAUGACUAGAGCUGGAACCUGCCCUCAACUAGGUCAGGAGUUUGUUGAUGGAGAUAGAUAAGCAAAUACACGGUGACUCAAUGUGAAAGCUGGAAGCAGGUAGCAGGGGGCUGCAAGAGAGCACAAGAGAGUGAGUGAUGCUUACUGGCACAGGUGGGAUGGGGCAGUGGAGGAAGCUCAAGGAAGCCUCCCCAGAGUGAUGCCACCAAAGCUAUGACAGGGAAGAACUGGUCAAAGGCAUACAGGAGUUUGAAGCGGAGGAAGGUCACACAGAUUUGCAUUUGAAGCACUAAGGGCUUUGUGGGAAGACAGACUGGGGAAGGGUGAAGCAGAACUCAGGAGACCAGGGUGGUAGCCCUUGCAGGCUGUGUUCCAGGUGAGACAAGAAGGCCCUGAAACCUGUGGCUGGAUUCAUCCAGGCUCGGGAAGGCCUAGGAGGAAGAGCUGCUUGAAGGUUUAGGAAAAGACGGUAUGGAGCAGGCCAGCCCUGGAAGUCUUGGAAAGAGCACUGUGUGACCUCUCUUUGCUUGAGUUGACUUUACUGAAUCCUACCAGAAGAACCUGGCAAAUAAAUUUUACUUUGUGUGACAACUACCUCUGGCGAAGGCUUUGAUUUCAACUCACCAAGAAGGGAACCCACUUUAGUUUGGUAACAAAACCAGUUGGAGUCAGUUUGGGUAUAAAAAGAUACGCCAAUCAAGUCUUCUAUAGACGGCCCCUGUUAGCAAAUCAUAUGUACUCCUACAAAGCCAUCCAAGUUGUCCUCACGUCCUAGCAGCAAAACUAAAGACCGAAACAAAGACAAAAGAACUGACCACCCUGAAAAUGCUUAACAACAUGGAUUUCAAGAAACAUGUAAGCUGCGAACUGAGAGUGUCAAAUGAUGAAGAAGCACAAUGGAAGUUCUUGGGAAGAUGAUGGGCUGUCUCCCUAGUCCCUCUAAUUCGUGACUUACUGGGGCAGAGACGGGGGAGGACAGCCUGGGUGCUGCCUGCCACCUUUCUUUACAGGCGGGAGCUGGUGGGAGCACGGCAGCCACAGAGGAGCACAGCGGAGCCGGGAGUGUUCCAGCAAAGCCUCUCAGGGCGAGUCGGUCCGCGUCCUCCAGGCUGCAAUUCGGAGGCCGUAACGGGAAGUCUGUGCUUCUUCCCGCUCCCAAGCCCCGCCUUCCUCUCAAAGACAGAGAAUUAGUUAAAAAAGCAAAUGAAGGAAAUUCCCUAAAGAACCCUACCGGGGAACAACAAAAACAUCCAUUGUAAACAGCAGAUGCAGUUUCUACAUAACAACAGCCCAGAGACGAGCAGCGUGAUUAAUGCCUCCAGCUGUCAUAUGCCCCAUUAUCUGUACAUUUGCAUAACUUAAUGGUUUAGGACAGGGGAGAGAGGAUGCUUAAUUUAAUGUUUAGCAGGCCCUUGAUAGCUGAAUAAUUUAAGAACUGUCAAGGGGGGUCAGUCCUACAGCGAUUUGGUAAGACAGCUAUGAUUUCUGCAUAUCGUUAAAAUUCGUACUUGGGAUUUUUUUUUUCUUAAGGAAAAAGAAAAGAACAACAAUGACUGUAAGCAAGCGCUGGUUUAUUAUUUUUUUUCUUCUGUUAACCAUUUUCUCCCUGAGGCAAAUGGAAAUUUCAUUUUUGACAGGGGUUAGAUGUCCGAAGACAGCCGGGGAGGGGAAAGGUUACAACCGCUCCCUUCCUUCAUCUCUCUGCUCCUCUCUGGAUCACCAAGAACGCCGUCUCCCAUUCUGAUUUUUGUAUCUUCCUGUUUUUUGUCCCCUCAAUCGUCUCACCUUUAUGCCCUCUUUUAUGCCCUAUUUGCAAACCUCCCCCGACAUCGUUUAACUGAAAGGCGGAUGGAUGGGGGAGGGGAGGGCGAGGUUGGAGGGGAGGAGCAGAAUUUCCUUAAAAUCGACUAACAGCCCGACCCUCUUUCAGUAGGAAACAUUGUCAGUUUCAUUAGUUGCUAAUGAAUAUUAUUAAACUAAUCUGUCAUUUGUUUUCUAAUUAUGUGUCACCAGGCAUCACAGUGGCAGCUGAGGUGACUGCCGCUGAACAAUUUUCCUCUUUGAAUCCUUUUUAUUGUUUUUCUGAGUAAGAACAGUCAGGAAUGAUUAGCCAUAAUUUGAACCUGGGUAAGGCUUUUUUCCCCUUUUUCCCAGUCUUUUGGUAAUUUUCCUCCCUCACAUUUUUGACAUUACCAGGAUCUUCAUUACUACCUGGCCUCAGCAAGGAAAUAUAUUACUUGGAUACAACUCUGAGUAUCAACUGCAGAUGUACCUGGUUGCUUCGACAGUCUUGCAUGCUGUAUGAGCAUGGAACAAUGAUGCAGGAGCCAGAAGAUGGAAAUGGAACCUCAUUUGCUCCAUCACAUAAUCAUGCACCAAGUAGUCAUCUCUUCUGAGAAGUUAUUUAAAACUUUCUGAUGACUUCCUAUCAUAACUAGAAUAAAAUUCAAGCUAUUUACCCUAGCGUUCCCUCCCUCUAUCCUUGUUAUGCUCUUGCCCACACUCACUGUGCUUUAGCCAUGCUGGCUUCUCUGUUCUUCAAAUACUAAAAGCUUGCACCUAACCCUGGGUUUUUAUACUUGUAGACCAGAACCCUCUCUAGAUCCUCUCAUGGUAACUCUUUCUUAUCAUCCAGUUCUCAGACUUAAUACUACUACGUCAGGGGUGAUUUUGU
rnacentral:lncRNA from 1 species